rnacentral:rRNA from 1 species
GACGGAGGAUGCAAGUGUUAUCCGGAAUCACUGGGCGUAAAGCGUCUGUAGGUGGUUUAAUAAGUCAACUGUUAAAUCUUGAGGCUCAACCUCAAAAUCGCAGUCGAAACUAUUAGGUUAGAGUAUAGUAGGGGUAAAGGGAAUUUCCAGUGGAGCGGUGAAAUGCGUAGAGAUUGGAAAGAACACCGAUGGCGAAGGCACUUUACUGGGCUAUUACUAACACUCAGAGACGAAAGCUAGGGUAGCAAAUGGG